rnacentral:rRNA from 1 species
UUUUGGACAAUGGGCGCAAGCCUGAUCCAGCAAUGCCGCGUGAGCGAAGAAGGCCUUCGGGUUGUAAAGCUCUUUUGUCAGGGAAGAAACGGUGAGCUCUAAUACAGUUUGCUAAUGACGGUACCUGAAGAAUAAGCACCGGCUAACUACGUGCCAGCAGCCGCGGUAAUACGUAGGGUGCAAGCGUUAAUCGGAAUUACUGGGCGUAAAGCGUGCGCAGGCGGUUAUGUAAGUCAGAUGUGAAAUCCCCGGGCUCAACCUGGGAAUGGCAUUUGAGACUGCAUGGCUAGAGUGUGUCAGAGGGGGGUAGAAUUCCACGUGUAGCAGUGAAAUGCGUAGAGAUGUGGAGGAAUACCGAUGGCGAAGGCAGCCCCCUGGGAUAACACUGACGCUCAUCACAAA